GGUAAGGUGGCUGAGUUAAGCGGUAGAUUGUAAAUCUACCUACGAGAGAAUUUCUCCCUUUCCA
rnacentral:tRNA from 1 species